CUUAGCUAAGAAGUUUGUGCUGCUCAAGAGUUUGCACAAAUACAAAGUUGAGAAAUACUCCUUGCUGAAAGGGGUGUAAAAGGCAAAGGACAAACCGGUUGUCCUCUGAAGUGGAGACAUUUCUAUUCUACGUUGGGCUGUGAUCUUGGAGAAUGCAGGCAAGGAACGAGUUUUGCUGGUUUUUCAGUGAGAGACCCCUUGUAGUAAGAGAGGCUCUUCUCUCUCUACCUGCCUGCUGCUUCUUACCAAGAGGUGGAAGUGGACAGGAAAUGAUGUCUCCAGCCAACAGCCAGAGAGGACCUCAGGCCUGCCCGCAGCAGUGGAAGUGAGUUUGAAAGAGGAUUCUGAAGCCUUGAGAGAGCUGCAGCCCUGGCUGACAGCUUGAUUGUAUCCUCUUGAGAGCCUGAGCCAGAGGACACAGCUAACCUCACCCAGAUUCGUAGCCCAUGGAAACUGUGAGGGAAAAAAAAGUUUAUUGUUUAUUAACUGCUAAAUUUGGGGUGACUUUUACCCAAGAAUAGAUAACGAAUACAAGGA